AGCAGCCGCGGUAAUUCCAGCUCCAAUAGCGUAUAUUAAAGUUGCUGCAGUUAAAAAGCUCGUAGUUGAAUUUCGGGACCAUCAUGUCGGUCGUGCCUCGGUACGUACUGGCAUUGUUGGUUUCUCCCUUCUGACGAACCAUGAUGUCAUUUAUUUGGUGUCAUGGGAAAUCAGGACUGUUACUUUGAAAAAAUUAGAGUGUUUGAAGCAGGCUCACGCUUGAAUACAUUAGCAUGGAAUAAUGAAAUAGGACGUUUGAUUCUAUUUUGUUGGUUUCUAGGAUCGACGUAAUGAUUAAUAGGGAUAGUUGGGGGCAUUAGUAUUCAAUUGUCAGAGGUGAAAUUCUUGGAUUUAUUGAAGACUAACUACUGCGAAAGCAUUUGCCAAGGAUGUUUUCAUUAAUCAAGAACGAAAGUUAGGGGAUCGAAGACGAUCAGAUACCGUCGUAGUCUUAACCAUAAACUAUGCCGACUAGGGAUCGGAUGAUGUUAAUUUUUAAUGACU
rnacentral:misc_RNA from 1 species